rnacentral:rRNA from 1 species
GGGUUGUGAGGUUAAGCGACUAAGCGUACACGGUGGAUGCCCUGGCAGUCAGAGGCGAUGAAGGACGUGCUAAUCUGCGAUAAGCGUCGGUAAGGUGAUAUGAACCGUUAUAACCGGCGAUUUCCGAAUGGGGAAACCCAGUGUGAUUCGUCACACUAUCAUUAACUGAAUCCAUAGGUUAAUGAGGCGAACCGGGGGAACUGAAACAUCUAAGUACCCCGAGGAAAAGAAAUCAACCGAGAUUCCCCCAGUAGCGGCGAGCGAACGGGGAGCAGCCCAGAGCCUGAAUCAGUGUGUGUGUUAGUGGAAGCGUCUGGAAAGGCGCGCGAUACAGGGUGACAGCCCCGUACACAAAAAUGCACAUGCUGUGAGCUCGAUGAGUAGGGCGGGACACGUGGUAUCCUGUCUGAAUAUGGGGGGACCAUCCUCCAAGGCUAAAUACUCCUGACUGACCGAUAGUGAACCAGUACCGUGAGGGAAAGGCGAAAAGAACCCCGGCGAGGGGAGUGAAAAAGAACCUGAAACCGUGUACGUACAAGCAGUGGGAGCACAGAGCAAUCUGUGUGACUGCGUACCUUUUGUAUAAUGGGUCAGCGACUUAUAUUCUGUAGCAAGGUUAACCGAAUAGGGGAGCCGAAGGGAAACCGAGUCUUAACUGGGCGUUAAGUUGCAGGGUAUAGACCCGAAACCCGGUGAUCUAGCCAUGGGCAGGUUGAAGGUUGGGUAACACUAACUGGAGGACCGAACCGACUAAUGUUGAAAAAUUAGCGGAUGACUUGUGGCUGGGGGUGAAAGGCCAAUCAAACCGGGAGAUAGCUGGUUCUCCCCGAAAGCUAUUUAGGUAGCGCCUCGUGAAUUCAUCUCCGGGGGUAGAGCACUGUUUCGGCAAGGGGGUCAUCCCGACUUACCAACCCGAUGCAAACUGCGAAUACCGGAGAAUGUUAUCACGGGAGACACACGGCGGGUGCUAACGUCCGUCGUGAAGAGGGAAACAACCCAGACCGCCAGCUAAGGUCCCAAAGUCAUGGUUAAGUGGGAAACGAUGUGGGAAGGCCCAGACAGCCAGGAUGUUGGCUUAGAAGCAGCCAUCAUUUAAAGAAAGCGUAAUAGCUCACUGGUCGAGUCGGCCUGCGCGGAAGAUGUAACGGGGCUAAACCAUGCACCGAAGCUGCGGCAGCGACACUAUGUGUUGUUGGGUAGGGGAGCGUUCUGUAAGCCUGUGAAGGUGUACUGUGAGGUAUGCUGGAGGUAUCAGAAGUGCGAAUGCUGACAUAAGUAACGAUAAAGCGGGUGAAAAGCCCGCUCGCCGGAAGACCAAGGGUUCCUGUCCAACGUUAAUCGGGGCAGGGUGAGUCGACCCCUAAGGCGAGGCCGAAAGGCGUAGUCGAUGGGAAACAGGUUAAUAUUCCUGUACUUGGUGUUACUGCGAAGGGGGGACGGAGAAGGCUAUGUUGGCCGGGCGACGGUUGUCCCGGUUUAAGCGUGUAGGCUGGUUUUCCAGGCAAAUCCGGAAAAUCAAGGCUGAGGCGUGAUGACGAGGCACUACGGUGCUGAAGCAACAAAUGCCCUGCUUCCAGGAAAAGCCUCUAAGCAUCAGGUAACAUCAAAUCGUACCCCAAACCGACACAGGUGGUCAGGUAGAGAAUACCAAGGCGCUUGAGAGAACUCGGGUGAAGGAACUAGGCAAAAUGGUGCCGUAACUUCGGGAGAAGGCACGCUGAUAUGUAGGUGAAGUCCCUCGCGGAUGGAGCUGAAAUCAGUCGAAGAUACCAGCUGGCUGCAACUGUUUAUUAAAAACACAGCACUGUGCAAACACGAAAGUGGACGUAUACGGUGUGACGCCUGCCCGGUGCCGGAAGGUUAAUUGAUGGGGUCAGCGCAAGCGAAGCUCUUGAUCGAAGCCCCGGUAAACGGCGGCCGUAACUAUAACGGUCCUAAGGUAGCGAAAUUCCUUGUCGGGUAAGUUCCGACCUGCACGAAUGGCGUAAUGAUGGCCAGGCUGUCUCCACCCGAGACUCAGUGAAAUUGAACUCGCUGUGAAGAUGCAGUGUACCCGCGGCAAGACGGAAAGACCCCGUGAACCUUUACUAUAGCUUGACACUGAACAUUGAGCCUUGAUGUGUAGGAUAGGUGGGAGGCUUUGAAGUGUGGACGCCAGUCUGCAUGGAGCCGACCUUGAAAUACCACCCUUUAAUGUUUGAUGUUCUAACGUUGACCCGUGAUCCGGGUUGCGGACAGUGUCUGGUGGGUAGUUUGACUGGGGCGGUCUCCUCCUAAAGAGUAACGGAGGAGCACGAAGGUUGGCUAAUCCUGGUCGGACAUCAGGAGGUUAGUGCAAUGGCAUAAGCCAGCUUGACUGCGAGCGUGACGGCGCGAGCAGGUGCGAAAGCAGGUCAUAGUGAUCCGGUGGUUCUGAAUGGAAGGGCCAUCGCUCAACGGAUAAAAGGUACUCCGGGGAUAACAGGCUGAUACCGCCCAAGAGUUCAUAUCGACGGCGGUGUUUGGCACCUCGAUGUCGGCUCAUCACAUCCUGGGGCUGAAGUAGGUCCCAAGGGUAUGGCUGUUCGCCAUUUAAAGUGGUACGCGAGCUGGGUUUAGAACGUCGUGAGACAGUUCGGUCCCUAUCUGCCGUGGGCGCUGGAGAAUUGAGGGGGGCUGCUCCUAGUACGAGAGGACCGGAGUGGACGCAUCACUGGUGUUCGGGUUGUCAUGCCAAUGGCACUGCCCGGUAGCUAAAUGCGGAAGAGAUAAGUGCUGAAAGCAUCUAAGCACGAAACUUGCCCCGAGAUGAGUUCUCCCUGAC